AUUGAACGCUGGCGGCAGGCCUAACACAUGCAAGUCGAGCGGGGUUUUCGGACCUAGCGGCGGACGGGUGAGUAAUGCGUAGGAAGCUACCCGAUAGAGGGGGAUACCAGUUGGAAACGACUGUUAAUACCGCAUAAUGUCUACGGACCAAAGUGUGGGACCUUCGGGCCACAUGCUAUCGGAUGCGCCUACGUGGGAUUAGCUAGUUGGUGAGGUAAUGGCUCACCAAGGCGACGAUCCCUAGCUGGUUUGAGAGGAUGAUCAGCCACACUGGAACUGAGACACGGUCCAGACUCCGACGGGAGGCAGCAGUGGGGAAUAUUGGACAAGGGGCGCAAGCCUGAUCCAGCCAUGCCGCGUGUGUGAAGAAGGCCUUCGGGUUGUAAAGCACUUUAAGCGAGGAGGAAGGUUCGUCACCUAAUACGUGACGGAAUUGACGUUACUCGCAGAAUAAGCACCGGCUAACUCUGUGCCAGCCGCCGCCGUAACAC
rnacentral:rRNA from 1 species